GGGGGUGAGUGCGACUGGCGGCACGGGAUGGCAGUGACCAUCGGGGAGCCCGCCGUGGGUAUCGACCGCCUGGGUGCCCACG
rnacentral:ncRNA from 11 species